AACAAGUCGUUGCUCUCUGAAGACACUGGGGUGCAGCCAUAGUCACCACACGGUGGUGAGCUGCUGCUAAAAGGGACAUGGAGACUCUGAAAGCAUGAAUGUCCAUGCCACAGUUCAGCUCUCCUCACUGUUGCUUGUCCUGACCACAUGCAUCGCCUCAGGACUACUGUAAGGCCUACAGCUUUCAGAUACUUUCUCAUUAUAUUUGAUUUAUUAGCUUCAAUUCUAAUUAUGUUGUAUUAAAGUGUGUUAUCUUGCAUUCUGAUACUGUAUUUAGUAAAUCAGUUUGUUUCUCCUCAAAACAUUGCUGCUGUUUUAAAUUAUUUUGGGGUUCUCUGUUUCCCUUUUCUGGAGGCGCAGAUUUUGUGAAAUCCCUCCACCCCACUAGUCACAGAACUGGGCUGAACCAGCCUGUAAACUGUUGACAUUCUUGGUAGAGGAUGCAGGCAAAAGCUGCUUUUUAGAACGAAUCUCUCUCUCUGCUCUCGGAGAGCUUCACUGGGAAAGUUUAUCUCUUUCACAGGUGUCCACUGAAAACUUGACCUUGAAAGUCUGGGAGGGCUGCCAGUAUUCUAGGAUAUUUGUAAACUUUGAGCACUUCAUUCUUACUUCUGUAAAGAGAGGAGGGGGGAAAAAAAAAAAAGAUUCCACUUUCUCUUUUACACUUGUUUGCUGAGGAAGCUGCUAAUUUUACAGAACUUGUGAUUUUUAAGCAGGCUCACAGUCUCUCCUUUGAAUCCUUUAUGCAGUUUUUGAAUCAUAUUUUGAGGAAGCCUUCCCCAGAACCAGAGAAUACUGAGUGGCAGGAAGCAUGGAGAGGCUUGGGAGAGACUUUAGAGGUAGGGACAUCUUCCGUGUCAAGGAAUUUUACUCCUGAACACCUGAAAGACCCUGAGAGCUUAAACAGAUAUUUGGGACAGGACUGUUGUGGCUCAGGCAGAUCUGAAGAGGCAUAAAUGAUUUGGGGUCUGGCUAAUGCUUAUCAGGUCUUAGUCAAUACUAUCCCAGAGUGGGAGAGAGUUUCUGAAAGUGAGAGAGUCUCUGUGAUGAAAGAGAGUGUCUCAGAGCUGACAGGGAGAAUCUCCAGGUCCAGAAACAGACUCUCCAAGCUGAAAGAGACAGUCUCCAAUCUGACAGAGAGAAUCUCCUAGUCAAGAGAAAAGCCCUUGAAUCUGAGCGGGACUCCUUCCGAUCCAACAGAGAUGCCUUCCGAAUUGAGAGAGACUCGCUGCAAUCCAAACUGAACAGCCUUCAAUUUCAACAGGACACCCUCCAGUCCGAGCGAGAUGCCCUCCGAUCUGAGAGGGACAUUCUCAAGUCUGAAUGGGAUGUACUCCGAAGUGAGCGAGAUGCUUUCCAGCACUCAAAAUUCAGUCUCCAGUUUGAAAUAAACAGAAUGCAGGCUCAUCGAGUCAUGCUCAAAUCUGAACUAAAUGCCCUCAUAAUCAAACAAGACAGACUCCAAGUCAAGCUGGAGAGUGAGAGUAUCAGAACUGACCAACCUGAUGAACCACAGGAGGGAGGCACCACAAUUGAUAUCAGUUGCCCCUGUAAGAGGAUGGAAAAUGAAACAAAUCUCCACUCACUUAGAACAGAAGAAAGAGGGAGAGAAGAAAGUAGAGGAAGCAGACACUGCAAGAGAAGAGGAGGAAAGAGGUCCAGAGAAGCAGCUCCAAGAUCCAGGGUAAGCACCCCUGAGUCCAGGGGAGGGCCCCUCAGUAAGAUCACGGUCACCAAUACCUAGGAGGGUAACAAGAAGUCCUGAAAGAGCAGGAGGUGAGCAAGACAUCAUUACCAUUACUGACCAAUCUCUGAAAAUGAAUGAAAUUUGAGGUCUGAGAAAAGACUUCUCAUGCCACCCAAAUGAGCCUAUUGUCACCUGGUUACUUUGAUGUUGGGACAAUGGGGCCGACAGUGUGUGGCUAGAUAGCAGAGAAGCUUGCCAACUGGGUGGCAUUGCUAGGGACUCUGCCACUGACAGAGGUAUUAGUAUAUGCCAGAAUCAGGCCUUCACCGUCUGGAAGUGGAUGUUGUUAGCUGUGAAAGAAAGGUACCCCUUCAAAGAUGAUUCGAUGCCUGAGAAAAAGAAAUGGACUGACAUGGAAAGAGGCAUCUGUUAUUUCAGAGAAUACACUGUGGUGGAAAUGCUAUGUAGCUACACUUUCAUUCCUGACAAGCCAGACCAAGAACAUGAUCCCGAGAGAGUCAGAUGUACACCAAAUAUGUGGCGUAUGUU
ensembl:lncRNA